rnacentral:sRNA from 1 species
GCCGGGUGCAGUGGUGUAUGCCUGUAAUCCCAGCUGCUGGGGAGGCUGAGACAGGAGGAUCACAAGUUCAAAGCCAGCCUCAGCAACUUAGCGAGGCACUAAGCAACUCAGUUAGAUCCUAUCUCUA